rnacentral:lncRNA from 1 species
GCUGGGAUUACAGGUGCCUGCCAUCACACCUGGCUAAUUUUUGUAUUUUUAGUAGAGACGGGGUUUCACCAUGUUGGCCAGGCUGGUCUCAAACUCCUGACCUUGUGAUCUGCCCACCUAGACCUCUCAAAGUGUUGUGAUUACAGGCGUGAGCCACAGCGCCCACCCUACAGAGAGGAAAUUUUAAGGAAAUGUCUGCUUUGAAUACUCAAUAAAAUAUAAGACAAAACCAAAAAUGAUACAGUGUGCUGAAAUUCUGACAGCAAUGAUAAAAGAAUUUUCAAGGAACUGAAAUCCAGUGACAAAAAUGAAAUCGAUCAAGGCUGUAGUUGCACACCUGAGACAUUCCUCGAGAAGGCAGAGGAGAAAGGUGUGAAAAACAGUGAACCAGAGAAGGAUGGCCAGGGACAACAAAGAUUGGAGCUCGGAAGUUGAAUGACAGAUAUUCUGGAGAAACACACCAGAGAUGACAAAAGGGUUUGUCAAACACAGCCCAACUCAACUGGAGUCCUGAGAAGGUGACCAGACCAGGAUGGAGGCCCAGGGAACUCACCAGAAGUCCCCAUGCAUCAGAACAAGGUCGAAGCAUCCUGUAAGUUUUGCUGCUAAUCACUUUGGAUUUUCACUGCAUUUAUGAGCUGUGACAUUCACUGUGAAGGUUUAAGGUUUUGCUGUUGAAGCUGGCAAAACCACAAAACCACCAAGAGAAACUAACAGUUCCACAGGCACUGUCUUAAGAGCUGUAACACCCACCAUGAAGGUCUGCAGUUUCACUCCUGAGCCAGCGAGACCAUGAACCCAGCGCAAGGAAAAAAGUGCAAGUACAUCCGAACUUCAGAACAUCAGAAAGAAGAAACUCUGGACAGGCCCCCUUUAAGAACUGUGACACCACCUGCGAGGGUCUGCGGCUUCAUUCUUGAAGUCAGCCCAAGAACCCACCGAUUUUAGACACACUGGGUUCAAGCGAUUUUCCUGCCUCAGCCUUCCAAGUAGCUGGGAUUACAGGUGUCCACCACCACGCCGGGAACCUUCCAGGUCUGAGCUGAGGUGUCAUCUCUGAACACCAGGCUGCUGCACUAACCAGAAGACCCCUCCCCACCUGCAGUGGCCUCGCUGCAUCGUAAGGAUGGAGGAGCUGUUGUCUCCACAGCUGACAGGUGCUUAGUGGUUAGAAGUCUGGUUUUCGCGCGGCUUAGAUCUUUAACAUCUGAACUAGUCCUGUCAACAUAUUUUGUUAUAUUUCUGGUGGCUUUGUCUUUGAUGCUAUUAUAAAUGAUUAUCUUUUAAAAUAAUACUUUGAUGAUAUAUAGAAAUGAAAUUGAUUUAUUUGACUGUAUCCAGCAACCUUUUCAAAUUCUAAUAAAUUGUGUAGGGAAAAAAAAGUCUGGCUUCGGAGUCAGAACGGAAUUGAAUCCUGCCUCCACCACUUCCUACCUAUAUGACCUGGUGAAACUUAUCCCUCUCUGUGACUCAGUUUCCUCAUCUGUAAAAUGGGAAAAUUGAAAGCAACUAACAGGUUUGGGGCCGUUUUGCUUGCUGCUGCUGUGGCUUCAGUGCUGAGGCCUGGCACUCAGCGGGAUGUCAGCCCAGGACUGGAGCUUCUUUCUCAUGGUAUUAUUUUGAAUUUAGAUGAAAAGAGGUAUUCCAGGAGAGCUCCUGGCACAGGGCCUGGCAGGUGGCACAUCCUCAGUAAAUGUGAGCUGCUGUCAGCUGCUGUGUGAGUGCCUGGUGUGGCCCUGUUGUCCCCUUGAGGGUUGGGGGACAAAACAGGCCCUCAGGAAGCCUGCCUGUGUAUUCGGGGGCUGGGGAGAUCUCUGACCUCCUGUCUCCUAGCUCCACCAGCAUCUCUCACCUCCCCCAGCAAUGUACAACCCCUUCUUUUCCCAUAGCUUAGGCCCCUGAGGUACCAGCCCCCCAGCCUAGGGACAGCCCAGUGGCAAACUCCUGGUGACCUGGGUCAAGCUGCUGUUCUCCAAUCCCAACUCGGCUCUUCCCGUGACUUGGCCCCCAGGCCUUGGGUGAGGCUCCGAUGAAAUAACACACAGGAAUGUGCGCUGAACACUGCCAAGCACUGCAGGUGGGCAGGGGCUUUGUGCUCCCCAGCGACUGUUCCUAUCCUGCGGGAAUGGAGGAGACCGACAAAGAAGCCCCACUCCUGGGCUGACAUCCUGCCAGUGCCAGCCGGGCCUCAGCACCAGUGGGUCAGCCAGAACAGCAACGACGAACAAUGAGGCCCCAAACCCGUGGGCCCCCCACUUUCUAUCUUGAAUUUCUCUGUCUUUCCUAGGCCAGCAAUGUUUGAGAGGGAGAGCGAGCUGAAGAUUUCCUGAUUUCAGAUAGGCCUAGAGAAGGAUUGUAAUUUUCUAGUGUGAAAAGGAAGUGGCACAAAGAUGAGGGCAAUGAAGAAGAUGGUUCAAUGGAAGUACCAGGGUCCUGUAAAUAGGGAACGUGUUUUAUGAUCAAACCGUUCUUUGCAUUUUUGGUGAUUUUGAGGUUUAAUUUCCUCUAUGUAGUUAGUUAACUAUUUAACACUGAGAGCAGGGGUAGGGAUAAGGCAAACAACAAAAAAGCCAAAAUGAAACCAACUUCUGUGGGGUUUCCCCACCCCAGGGAGGUGGAGGCUGAGGUAGAACUGACUGAGAGAAUCACCCUCCCUGCACUGUGAUGAAGACACAUCCACACAUCAGGACUACACAGCUGGCAGGUGCUGGCUGUCCAGAGGAGCAAACAGCUUCUUCCUUGUGUUUCUGUGUCUCUUAGUAGAAAUCUGUGCCCUUGGGAGAAAACUGAAUUUGCACCCCUUGAGGCAAACACUUGACCAAAUGAAUUAGGCAGAUGGGUGGAUGGGUGGGUGAAUGGGCAGGAGGUGUGACAGGCAGGAGGCGUGACAGGGAAAGAACACUGUUCUGACAGGCACACACUGCCACAUCUGCCCUCCCAACAACCCCGAUACAGACACUGUUGUUAACCCUCCUUUUACAGAUGAGGAAACUGAAGUUAAUUUGCUCGUGGUAACACAGCUAGGCAAGUGGCUACGUUCAGCUGGAGAAAAGGAAAAUUCUGAAAGACUUUAGGAUACAUCUUAUUCAAAAGCAUUUGGUGAACAUAAAUAUGUACCCAAGGUAUAAUAUUAAGUGAACCAAGCUUGUUAUAAAGCAGUAUGAGUCCUGUCUGAUUCCAACUUUAUAAAAAAUAGAUGCAUAUGUCAAUAAAUGCACAGAAAAGGGUAUACCCUAAAAUGUUAAUAAUGGUGAUCUCUGGGUUAUGACACAAAAUAUUGAUUGGUCUUUGGGCUUUUCUUUAAUUUUAAAAUGUUAAUAGACAUGUAUUAUCUUAAUAAUGGGAGGAGCCACAGAAAAAGUGCUUUUCAAAAACAUGAAAUCAAUAAGCCCAUGCAGGACCUGCAGGGGGCUGCAGUCACCUGGGCCUCAUAGGCUUGGCAAAGGCUUUAGUUAUGCCCUGAUUGGAGGCCACUGGCAUGGAGAAGCUGUAGGUCAGCUAACUGGAACUAGGACAUCCAAUGUGAUUGGUUAUGUGUGCAUAUUUGUCUUUCUUCAUUGGGUCCUAAGUUGCAAGCAGGCGCAAAAAUUAAGGAAGCUGUGAGUCAAUGAAGUCCUGGCUGUUUUUCAGCUGGUUGCUAUAGGGUUGUUUUUUGACUUUCUAGACUGGUUGCUGUAGAGGUGGGUCAGAGUUUUACUUUCAUCUAUGGUCUGGCCAUUGUAUUUGUAUAUUCAGUCUCUUAGUCACCCCUUUUGGUCAUUCGCUUACUUUCAAGAGGUUGGCCAAUUCAAGGAAAGCUGGAAAUCUAGCUCUUUAUCACUCAGAGAUUAUUCAGUAAACUCCAUAUAAAACUGUAUUGCAAAAUAUUCCUGACCUUUUUGUUUUUGUAUCAUCAUGGUGAUUUUGACUAGAGAGCAGAUGUGCAGAAGCUUUUAAGAAUCUAGAUAGCACGCAGCAUCAUGUCCACUCUUACAAAGCCAGAAUAAUUAAUAGUUCCUAUAAGGUGAUUUGGAACCAGGAACCUCAAUUGCCAAAUCAAGGCCAAAAUAACAAAUUUGAUAGAUUAUGGGAUCAACCUUAGCCAAAUAGCUUAUACCAUGAAACAAUAUAUAAUAGUUCCAACUUGCUUGUUUCUUUGAUCCAAGGACAAGAAGUAUGAGCAACGGCACAGACACCAGGAUGACUAAAAGAAAAAAAAAAAAAAAACCUAGGGUAAUGUUAUUGUCUAUCACUGCCCAUGCCAAUGAGUUGAGAUUGUUCUGUAUUUGUAUCUAGGACAAAGGCAAUAUCAUCAAUAACUUCUGCCAGAGUGAGUAUCUUAGUCCAUUCAGGCUGCUGUACUAAAAUACCAUAAUUUGGGUGGCUUAUAAAGAAUAGAAAUGUAUUUCUUUCAGUUCUAGAAACUGAGAAAAUCAAGAUAAAGACGCCAGCAGACUCGAGGCCAGGUGUGAUAGCUCAUGCCUGUAAUCCCAGAACUUUGGGAGGCUGAGGUGGGUGGAUCACCUGAGGUCUGGAGUUCAAGAC